rnacentral:rRNA from 1 species
GCUUUCGGGCUGAGUAGAGCGGCGGACGGGUGAGUAACGCGUAGGAAUCUACCUGGUAGUGGGGGACAACUUGGGGAAACUCAAGCUAAUACCGCAUACGCCCUAAGGGGGAAAGCGGGGGACCUUCGGGCCUCGCGCUAUCGGAUGAGCCUGCGUAGGAUUAGCUAGUUGGUGGGGUAAAGGCCCACCAAGGCGACGAUCCUUAGCUGGUCUGAGAGGAUGAUCAGCCACACUGGAACUGAGACACGGUCCAGACUCCUACGGGAGGCAGCAGUGGGGAAUAUUGCGCAAUGGGCGAAAGCCUGACGCAGCCAUGCCGCGUGUGUGAAGAAGGCCUUAGGGUUGUAAAGCACUUUCAAUUGGGAAGAAAAGUUUGUCGUUAAUAGCGCCAAGCUCUGACAUUACCUUUAGAAGAAGCACCGGCUAACUCCGUGCCAGCAGCCGCGGUAAUACGGAGGGUGCGAGCGUUAAUCGGAAUUACUGGGCGUAAAGCGCGCGUAGGCGGUUUGUUA